rnacentral:misc_RNA from 1 species
GAGAGAUUCAGUCCGUGCCCGUGGC